CCUACGGGAGGCAGCAGUAGGGAAUAUUGCUCAAUGGGGGAAACCCUGAAGCAGCAACGCCGCGUGGAGGAUGAAGGUUUUCGGAUUGUAAACUAUUGUCCACAGGGAAGAAAAAGACUGUACCUGUGAAGAAAGCUCCGGCUAACUACGUGCCAGCAGCCGCGGUAAUACGUAGGGAGCAAGCGUUAUCCGGAUUUAUUGGGUGUAAAGGGUGCGUAGACGGGAUAACAAGUUAGUUGUGAAAACCCUCGGCUCAACUGAGGAACUGCAACUAAAACUAUUAUUCUUGAGUGCAGGAGGGGCAA
rnacentral:rRNA from 1 species